rnacentral:rRNA from 1 species
AUUGAACGCUGGCGGCAGGCCUAACACAUGCAAGUCGAACGGUAACAGAAAGCAGCUUGCUGCUUUGCUGACGAGUGGCGGACGGGUGAGUAAUGUCUGGGAAACUGCCUGAUGGAGGGGGAUAACUACUGGAAACGGUAGCUAAUACCGCAUAACGUCGCAAGACCAAAGAGGGGGACCUUCGGGCCUCUUGCCAUCGGAUGUUCCCAGAUGGGAUUAGCUAGUAGGUGGGGUAACGGCUCACCUAGGCGACGAUCCCUAGCUGGUCUGAGAGGAUGACCAGCCACACUGGAACUGAGACACGGUCCAGACUCCUACGGGAGGCAGCAGUGGGGAAUAUUGCACAAUGGGCGAAAGCCUGAUGCAGCAAUGCCGCGUGUAUGAAGAAGGCCUUCGGGUUGUAAAGUACUUUCAGCGGGGAGGAAGGGAGUAAAGUUAAUACCUUUGCUCAUUGACGUUACCCGCAGAAGAAGCACCGGCUAACUCCGUG